GGUACUUUAUUAAAAGACUUCUUCGAUUAAAAGAUUCAAGCAAAGAAAUUGUUCUUCACUCAAUUAACAAUUUUUCACAACUCUACUUGAAUGAUAUUAGGUCAUUUCCAACGGAGGGUUCUUUCUGGGUUUCUUCAUUUGUAAAAACAGUUUCUUGAAGAAACUUUCCACUGGAGACUGUCUUCAUGGCGAAACGGAUUCCUUCAGAAUAAGAAGCGCUUCUUAUAUAAGAAAUAGGUGCUUAAUAUUAAAACAUUAAUUUGGAUUCACAACAAAAGACAAUCCCAUCUCAUAAUGGAAUCACAAAUAAAUUUAUUUUCUGAAAUUUCACAAAAAAAAUUGUAUUUUUAACCAAACAAAAUUGAAUAACCCGCAUAUCUUGAAUACAAACCAACAAAGCAAUCACAUCUCAAAAUACAAACCAGAUUCCCCAGAUUGAGGGGCAACGAUGGUGGUUGCAUGAGGGAGGGGCUGCGAUGGUGAUUGCGUGAGGGAGGGGCUGCGACGAUGGUGCAUGGAGCGAUGGUGGCACGAUGACUGACCGUUUGUCCAUGAUGACCGGCGCAACGAAGACGUGUGACGGGAGAUCGAGCAGAGGAAAAAAAGAGAAAUGUGAGGGGAGAUUGAGUAGAGGAAAAGAAUAGAAGGAUGGGUUCUGGUGUGGUGUGAGAAGGAUGGGUUCUGGUGUGGGAAAGGCUCUAGUGUGGGGAAGGCUGAAUUUUUUUUUUUUUUUACCGUU
rnacentral:lncRNA from 1 species